rnacentral:rRNA from 1 species
UACGUAGGGUGCAAGCGUUAAUCGGAAUUACUGGGCGUAAAGCGUGCGCAGGCGGUUUUGUAAGUCUGAUGUGAAAUCCCCGGGCUCAACCUGGGAAUUGCAUUGGAGACUGCAAGGCUAGAAUCUGGCAGAGGGGGGUAGAAUUCCACGUGUAGCAGUGAAAUGCGUAGAGAUGUGGAGGAACACCGAUGGCGAAGGCAGCCCCCUGGGUCAAGAUUGACGCUCAUGCACGAAAGGCGUGGGGAGCAAACAGGAUUAGAGUACCCGAG